GGCUGUCCUGAGUGCAGUGCUGUUUACAGCUAAUCGAUUGCAACCAAUUAAGGAGUUCUUCCUUCUUCACUCCCACUGCUUCACUUGAUUAGCCUUAA
rnacentral:Y_RNA from 1 species